GGCCGCGUGGCGGAGUGGUUACGCAGCGGAUUGCAAAUCCGUGUAUUCCGGUUCGAUUCCGGACGCGGCCUCCA
rnacentral:tRNA from 8 species